rnacentral:lncRNA from 1 species
GUAACACCUGGUCUCCACACUCCAGUUCCCCACGGGGCAAUGCAAGGAGGGCCAGAUGUUUACCUGCUUGCACAGCGAGGUUCGUGAAACUCAAGGAAGAACGGCGGAAGCACUGUGAACAGUAUGAAAACGGUAGAAAUCAAAUGCAGGUGAUUAUCACUGACACUUUACCACAAAACUCUAGUGACAAUGUGCAGAACAUGUAGAGAACAGUAUCUGGCACACAGGAGGUGCUCUACAAAUAUCGCUUCUCCUUCUGCCACCCGCUGAACAAGAGGACUAUGGCCCUUUAGUUUUGCAUCUUACAGCUUCACCCUCAAAAGAGGACAUGGCUUCAAUUAUCUGGAUCUCACAUCUAAUAAUCUUAGAGAAGAAGAUAUUUGUUGGCCUAUCUAGUUCUGAAUGCUCGCCAGCCACAAGGAAAUCCAGCCCUUCCCAGAGUCUCCCCAGGAGUCUGGAAUUCUUCAGUUUGUCAGAGAAGGCCUAAUAGAAAGUCAGGAUUUUCAUCAUCACUCUGUGGCAAUGAAGACUGUGAUUUCAGUGGCAACCACGUGGGGAACUGGAACUCCUAUUCCUGUCAAGAAGUAAUGAGAAGUACCCCUCCCCUCAGAUGUCAAUAACAACCGAGUAAGGAACCUGAACUUCUAACUCCACCAG